AUCUAUCUGAUGAGCCCCAAAUGGGACGAAACGCGAGUCAAACUGGAU
rfam:Schistosoma mansoni strain Puerto Rico chromosome 5, complete genome